AACCUAGUUUGGCUAGCUGGAGUGGCUAGCCAAGUUUGGCUAGUGAUGGGGUAAUUUGGAGAGCUAGAUGGCUUGGCUAGUUAGAUGGCUAGUAUGUUGGAAUAUCCAAAUUUUAAUUUAACGAGUGAUUUGGCUAGUCUCCUGAAGAUGCUCUUAGUGAGUUAUGCUUUAAUGUGCCUAGGCCGUGUCGUGUUCGUCCAAUCCGGAUGUACAUGCAUGCAUAGGAUAUCCUCCCUGGUCGUGUUAGUACUGCAUCAGCAAGCAACAACAUGCCACGAUCAAGCUCAGCUGCUGCUGCUGCCGCCAUUCAGAUGAUGACCAACAUGAUGGCAGGAGCGGAUCUAAACAAAACAUCCAUUGGUGUCAUCUCCAUUAAAUUAUAAAAUCAUCAAUUCAUUUAUGUGCUAACAAACAUACAUUCUAAUGGAGAUUACUAAAAUUCAUUGGUGUCACAGGACACCACAAAAAGGGCCUGGAUCCGCCCCUGCAUGAUGGUAGAGUGGUAGAACUUUUGGUUGGGUGGUGAACUGGUGAUGUGGUUGGCUUCUUAUAUUUGGCCUAAAAAGAAGCAUUUGUGCUGGUUGCAAUUA